rnacentral:lncRNA from 1 species
GUGUUUAGAGUUUAGUCGGCUCUGAUCUAGGCUUCGUUGUGUCGGUCUAGAUUAUCUUUUACUUUGGAUUUUGUUAUGAUUGGAGAUUACCCGUAUGUUGGGAUUUUUGAGAUUCAUCUAUGUUGAUGUAAUAAUUGAUUCAUGACAUGUAUAUUUGGAUUACUCUGGUUUAUACUCCGCUGCGACUGUUGAAGUUUAUAUACAUGUUUAUGGUUUUGAAUUUUUGUCUGAUGGCGUAG